UUGAUAAAUUAAAAUAUAUAGCAUGUGCAGCACUGCUUGAUGCCUAGUCUAGAAUCUUUAAUCGCGGUAAGCUGGGUUAACUACGGUGCGGGCCACGUACCCAAAUUUCUUUCACAGUUGGAUUGACUAGUGUAGUCAAACGAGGGCAUGUGACGAAGGCUAGCUAUUUUAAAUUUUCCGAUUGUCCCUACAUAAAUCAGGCUAUAAUAGCCCCCAGACUACACGCAGGGACUACAAAAUCGGUGCGGCGUGGAGUUCUCAACGGCGCGCGGCGGUGCUGCGGUGCGACGGCUCGACGCAGCGGUGAGGAGGCGAGGAGGAGGUGAACGGCGGCGCCGCGGCCUCCAUCCCCGACCGCCGGGGGCCACCUCCAUCCCCCAACUGACGGGCGCCACCUCCGACCGCCUGGCGCUAGAUCCGUCCUCCACAAGGUCAGGGGACGCGGAUCCGGCCACCGGGCGUCGUCUCCUCCGUCCGCCGGCUGCGUCCCCAACUGACGAGUGCAGAACUGCAGAUUCCCCCGUCGGCUGCUUCCGGGUGCAGAAGGCGAAGAGGGCGGCGUCGAGGAGCAGUAAUAGGGACGAGGUCAUCCGCAAGGAGGAGGAGCAAGGUCGCCUCCAGGCCGAGCUCAAGAAGGUCUAGUGCGCCAAGGAGUUCAAGCCCACCGUGGUAUGAAGAAGCCCUGCCCGGCAAAACCCACAACCAUUUAUUCCCUUCGUUUUUGUUGCUCGUCAGGUGAUUGAUGAAUUGCUUGCUUGCCAUGGCUGUUUUAUGUGUGAUGAAAUGUUCGUGAAGACUUUUCUGUGUGAUGAAAUGUUGUGUGUGAUGAAUGCGAUGGCAACUACCCAGAAGCACUUUUUUUUUGUUUUUUUUUAUCGAAAUCUACAUCAGUGACGGGUGUUGAGCUGUGGUUGUGGCUCUUUUUUC